UAUGAAAUAAAAAUUUGUAAAGUACUAAGAUUACAAGUAUAUCCCUGAGGUGGGUCUAAAAUCCAACGAUUGAAAAUAAAAUCAUUUAUUCAACGGCUAGGAUGCAAUAAUCCUAAUACUAUAACUCUUUUUCCUCCGCCUCCAUAUCCCGCUCAAUCUUCGUCUUCUUCCUCUGCCAGUCUGCCUCAGUUCUGCAUCUCUCACUCUUAACAACUCACAUGUCAAGUAGAGGUUAGAAUCAUAUCCAAGUUUCGUUUACUAGUUAUUGCUUCAUCUUCUUCUUUUUCUCUAAUUUGUUUUUGUUUAGUUGAUCAAUCCAGUUUCUUUGAUUUCUAUCAAGAACCCAAACGCCGCAAACUCUAUUAACUUCUUCCCUGAUUUCUUCAGUUCACAAAUCCAUUAGAUGAAUUACUCUCCCAAAUCAAAACCCAACUUUUAAAUCAAACAAAACCUAAUUUACCGAAUCAAACAAAACCCUAAUUUGGUGAUUCAAAUCAAGAUCUCAAUUUCACUAAACUGUAACCUAAUUUAUGAAUUGAACAAACAAUUAUUUACCGAAUCGAACAAAACCCUAGUUUACCGAUCAAAUUAUAAUCUCAAUUUCAUUGAAUCAAAACCAAAACCCUAAUUUCUACCCAAUUUUGCUAAAUCAAAACCCUAACUUCUGUACAUGGAAACCCAAGUCUAUGUUGUUAUUUUGUUUUCUGGUGUUUGAUUAGUUGGGGAGCUGUUACAUCGGUGGGGGAUAUGGCGAUGCUAAGGGACAAAUGACAACGGAGAAUGAAAUAUAUGAAAUUAAAGAAGUUGUGAUUGUGUUUUUCCGGUCAUGUGGGCACUGAAUUAGUUACUCCGGUGUGGAAACUUGAUGGUGAUAGACAUAGUGGUUGAACUGGUAGCGAUAGAGAGACAAAAACGGGGAUGGAGAUGGUGCUGAUGGCUUUAGAGAAAGAACAGAAGAUGAUUCCCUUCCUUGGAUUGUUAUGAUGUAAUUGUUGAUAAAAAUUAAGGGCAUGAUUGUAAAUUGGUUUGGCAAUUUUGUUUUAUUUUUUUGUUUGGCAA